AGAGUUUGAUCCUGGCUCAGAUUGAACGCUGGCGGCAUGCUUUACACAUGCAAGUCGAACGGCAGCACGGAUGCUUUGCAUCUGGUGGCGAGUGGCGGACGGGUGAGUAAUGCAUCGGAACGUGUCCUUAAGUGGGGGAUAACGCAUCGAAAGAUGUGCUAAUACCGCAUAAUCUCUGAGGAGAAAAGUAGGGGAUCGAAAGACCUUAUGCUUUUGGAGCGGCCGAUGUCUGAUUAGCUAGUUGGUGGGGUAAUGGCUUACCAAGGCGACGAUCAGUAGUUGGUCUGAGAGGACGGCCAGCCACACUGGGACUGAGACGCGGCCCAGACUCCUACG
rnacentral:rRNA from 1 species